GUCUGGUUUGGCUCUGGACCAAUCGGAACCCAAAGGUAGAGAGAGACGGGGCUCUCUGAACGGCGGACUGAAGGCUGUUAAACUGACAAAUUCAUCCCAAGUCCAUCUCCAGCGGUCUGGGCCGUGUCAGGGCAUGGCCAAGUCUCCAGCUGUGGGGAGGCCCAGUACCGCCCUUGUUCCAGGCACCCCCACCCCCCAGCGCCACCACCCCCACAUUCUUUCUUUGUUGUGAAAGCAGCAAGGGGUGUAGGAGGCGGGUCAGGAGGAGUCAAGCUUUAGAAGAUGGGCCCCAGCUGCUGCUGGGCCUCCAGGAUCUGCUGAGAGGGGAUGGAUAAAAAGUGAAAUACAUGGACCUGAAGUGAGGCAGCAGAGGGAACAAGACAGGCCAGGGCAAGGCAGGUUGGCUGGCCAGCCCCAAGCCCUCUGACAGAAAAGCCAGCAGCAGGCUGCAUCUCUGAGGACCUAGGACGGAGUCUGGAACCUCAACCUCAAGCUCUAGGGCUUGUGCUACCUUUGCUAGGACUUCCCAGAAGGCCAAGAUCUGGUGGGGAAUAUACCUGGAAGAACCACAUGAAUAUGGGGAUAUACUCUGAAUGUGGUCAUUUCUCAUUAAAAUAUCAUUGCUGUGUUUUCUCAAA